UUUAUUUGUUUUGUUUUCUUUGUUUUAUUUUCAGUUUUUCUCUGUUUUGAUUUUUAUUUGCUUUCUUUAAAAAAAAUUGCAUGCUUUUUCCUUUGGUUUUUGAGUUACAAUUACGAGUAUUUUUCUUAGCUCUCUUGGCUAAAGUCUUGUGGUGUGAUGUGAAAAAUUUGAUGUGCAUUUUUAGUAUGAUAGGUAGGACUAAUCUCUGAAUUGUACAUCAUUUGUGGUAGAUCAAUUAACCUUGUGAGCUUUGAGCCUUAUAUAGAUAACAUACAAAAAUCCAUCUCUUUCUUUCUUGUGUGAUUCACUCAUGUAUGUUAGUCUCUAGAACUUGAAUUGACCCUUGUAUAUGUUGUUACUUACUUGUGCACAUUGAUAUGAUAAAGACAACUUUGUUUUUUGUUUUUUUAGCCAGUUAGCCAAAAAGCCAACCCUGAAAUAAUUUCAUCCCUUGUUUGAAACCCCCUUGAGCCUAUUAUCCUUUUUUUUGUUUAAAACUCAUUACAAGCCGAGAAUUGAAAAACAAUGUUAUCACCCUAUUCAAAGGGUUGGAAGAGUCUUGUUUGGAGUUGUGUAGAGUUGAAUAAGUAUGUUUGUAAUAUUUCAAAAGUUGGCAGAAAAAGAAAAGAAAAAUAGAAAAAGAAAAUAAAUAAAAAAUGAAUGAAAAAAAAUAGAAGGAU
rnacentral:lncRNA from 1 species